rnacentral:rRNA from 1 species
UACGGGGGAGCAAGCGUUGUUCGGAUUUACUGGCGUAAAGGGCGCGUAGGCGGUCACUACAAGUCAGUUGUGAAAUCUCUGGGCUUAACUCAGAACGGUCAACUGAUACUGUCGGACUAGAGUGCAGAAGGGGCAACUGGAAUUCUCGGUGUAGCGGUGAAAUGCGUAGAUAUCGAGAGGAACACCUGCGGCGAAGGCGGGUUGCUGGGCUGACACUGACGCUGAGGCGCGAAAGCUAGGGGAGCGAACGGG